rnacentral:ncRNA from 1 species
CUGGUUGAUUCUGUCAGUAGUCAUAUGCUUGUCUCAAAGAUUAAGCUAUGCAUGUCUAAGUGUAAGCAAUUUGUAUGGUGAAACUGCAAAUAGCUUAUUAAAUUAGUUAUUAUUUAUUUGAUAGUACCUUACUACAUGAAUACCUGUGGUAAUUCUAGAGCUAAUACAUGCUAAAAAUCUUGACUUUGGAAGGGGUGUAUUUAUUAGAUAAAAAAUCAAUGCCCUUUGGAGCUCUUUGGUAAUUCAUAAUAACUUGUCAAAUUGCAUGAUCUUGUGCUGGUGAUGAUUCAUUCACAUUUCUGCCCUAUCAACUUUUGAUGGUAGGAUAGUGGCCUACCAUGAUGGCAAUGGGUAAUGAAGAAUUAGGGUUUGAUUCUGAAGAGAGAGUCUGAGAAACAACUAUCAUAUUCAAGAAAGACAGCAGGCACACAAAUUAUCUAAUCCCAACAUGAGAAGGUAGUAACAAUAAAUACUGGUACAGAGCUCUUUUAAGUCUUGUAAUUAGAAUGAGUAUAAUCUAAAUCUCUUAAUAAGAAAUAAUUGAAGAGCAAGUCUGGUGCCAGCAGCUGUGGUAAUUCCAGCUCCAAUAGUGUAUAUU